ensembl:misc_RNA Metazoa_SRP Metazoan signal recognition particle RNA
GCCGGGCAUGGUGGCUCAUGCCUGUAAUUCCAGCACUUUGGGAGGCUGAGGCGGGUGGAUCACCUGAGGUCAGGAGUUCGAGACCAGCCUGACCAACAUGGUGAAACCCCAUCUCUA